GCAUGUUGGUGUAGGGGUUGGCAUCAUAGUCAGGAGCUUUCCCUUUCUCGGCUUCCAGAAUACACGCUGCAAGACUGCAUCACAGGUGGGUGUGUGUGGGGAAGGCUUCAAGGCUGCUCAUGAGCCUGGUCGGGAGAGCUGUCUUUAGGAGCAGAAUUGAAAGCAUAAAGGAUUUUUGUUUUGUACAUAUCCAGUAUGAGAAUGAGAUAUCUAGGAGACACUUGCCUUUUUCCUUUGUUCAUGGUAAGGAGUGUUCUCCUCUUCCUCUUCAUCCUCUUCCUCUUCCUUCUCCUCCUCCUCAAGUGCUAACUGCCUCUUCCCUUUGAAGAUGGGAGAAGCUUCAACUACAGCACCCUCCUCCAGCUAAAUCAUAAAACAUAGAGCACACUGGUGGUCCUGUCAGACGCCUUCCAGGUCACAUGACCUACUGGUGCUUCUUCCAGCUUUGACAUACGUUUGCUCUGUGUCUGUGUCUGUCUCUUUCCUUCUUUUUUGAGACAAUGUCUCACUAUGUAUCCUCAUUGUUUGCCUGGAACUUGCUAUGUUAGGUGGGGUUGGCCUUGAACUUGCGGAGGUCUGCCUGCUUUGCUUCCCAAGUGCCGGGGUUUAAGGUAUUUCUUUGUUUUCUUAGUGAAAUCUCAGACGUGUUAAUUUAGGCCCAGGACAUAUAAUCUUCAAGGUGAAUUUUGAUCGCCAGGAUGUUAUGGUUUAUACAAAUUUAUGGAAAAAUAACUGCUGUCUUCUUGGUAUAGAGUUCCAGAAACUGUGGAGGAGUGUUACUGUGGAUUCAAUGGAUGAGGAGAAAAUUGAAGAGUAUCUGAAGCGACAGGGUAUUUCUUCCAUGCAGGAAUCUGGACCAAAGAAAGUGGCCUCUAUUCAGAGAAGGAAAAAGCCUGCUUCACAGAAAAAGCGACGGUUUAAGACUCACAAUGAACACUUGGCUGGAGUGCUGAAGGAUUACUCGGACAUUACCCCUGGCAAAUAGGGAAUAUUUUUAUCCAUAAAGUUACAGACGCACAGUCAAGAUCUUUCUUGAUGCUCUCGGGAUCUGAAGACUUUCUGCCUUCCCGUCUGCUCCUCAGG
rnacentral:lncRNA from 1 species